rnacentral:lncRNA from 1 species
GAAAAAUAUGUAGAACAAUUUGGUAAACGUGGUUAGCAAACUCGCAUCCCACGGUUCCGUGUUUAUAUAGUGCUGGAGGCUGUCACAAAAUACAUGAGAUAGAUUACAGCUUGUCUUUUGAGCAUACGGUUAAACCAUCCUAACUCUACCAAGGACGUUACAAUAUUCUAGGACUCUAUCUCUCGGAGCUGGAUAGACUCGUGCACCUUAUCCUUGCCUUGCGUCAUACCUCAACCAGGUUGUCGUGCGUUACGCUUGAGUAGUCCUAUACCAACACGUUUUGCUUAACA